AUGAGCGAAGAGUUGGCGCGCAGAGCUGUAGAGGGGUUUUCCUUCAGGUCACGCAGUAGCCUGCGCAGGGAUGCUUCCUGGACCGAUGAUGGAACAGCUUGCAAACAGAUGAUGCGCACACGAACCAAGCCUGUCUUUAAAGAUCCCAGGGCCGCGAAGCUUUGGGCGAUGACGUCACAGAACCCCGAGCUCCCCCGCCCCCGCUCCACGUCCACCCCGCCCACUCCGAGCCAAGCCCCUUGGUGCUCCAAGACUACCAAUCCCAGGAGGCACCGCAGCGCAGGGGCCCAGAGCUCCCCGCGCAGUCCGCCCCGACGCGCCGAGGCAGCCUCCUCUGGAACUAGGAAGACGCCCCAGGCCCGGCCCGCCACGCCGCCGGGACCGCGCGCGGGGCCUGCCGGGACUUGUAGUCUCCGCGGGCUGGGCGUGCGGGCUCCGGAAUCUCGGCCGCCGUCUGGGGGCCGCGGCGGCGCGGGCGCGCGUGCGCAGUGCGCGGACGGGCCGUCGCGGGCGCCGCUCCGGCAGCUCGGGGCCGGUGGGAGCCGGGGCCGCGGCUGCGCGGUGCGGAGGGCCGAGGGCCGACGUGAAGUUGGGCGUGAGAAGCGCGGCCGCUCCGGGGCGGGGUGGGCGGGGCCGGGCUCCGGGAGCGCCGCGCCGGCUGGGGGAGAGCAGGGAGGCGUCCGCGCGUCCGCCGAGGGGCCGGCGGGCGCUGGUGAGUGCGGGGCGGCGGGCGGCGGGCGGCGCGGCGGCCCGGGCUGUCCCGCACCUGGGCGAGGCCGCGGCGCCCGCUCACCUGCGCGCGCGGGCUGCGGGGCUGCGGGGCUGCGGGGCUGCGGGGCUGCGGGAGGGGGCGGCGUCCUCUUCCCGCGACUCGUUUAUUGUUUCUCCGACUCGGCCCCCGGCGGCGUCCGGCGCGGGAGGGCGGGGGCCCGGCCGGGGCGGGCGGCGGCGCGCGGCUCCCGGGGGCGCCGUGCGGGGAUCCCCGGCGGCCGACGCCUGUCGGGGCCGCUCCGCCUCCGGGGGCUCGGCCGCCGCGGGCAGCGUUUCCUAGCGUCUUCCUGCGCUUUCGCUUUAGGACUCGGCGAGGCGGCAGGCGGCCCCGCCCCGGGCGGCGGAGUCCGGCUUCACCUCCGCGGGUUCGCGGCGCGGGGGCCGCAGGUGCCUCGCCCAAGGUCACGCAGGUAG
rnacentral:lncRNA from 1 species